GGUCUCUGCAUCAGCUAUUAAAUAAAUAAGCUUUUUUUAUGAUCUUGUAAAAAAUAGUAAGAAACGAAGCCUUAAUUAGCAUAAUACAGUAUUUGUUUGGAGAUUUAAAGGUUUUCAUUCCUGAAGGUGUCCACUGCUACCGCUUUGAAAUGAGUAAUUAUUUGUAAAAUAAAUGAGAAAAAAAUUUAAGCUACCAGUUCGUUUUAUGAAGACAAAACCUGAUAGGAAUUUUCUUAGGAUCACAAAUAAGCAUCUAAGUUCUCGAGCUUUCAAGUCCAAUAAUAUUCUUUACAUUAUGAACUCGAAUGGUCUACAUGAGUUUUAAUAUUUAAUAUAAAAACUGCAGGAAACAUGCUGAAAUACUACUCGAGCAGAGCAUGCUUCUUCUUACCUAUAAGCAACGGCCAGAUUUGACCCCUAAUCAUUUCAUCCUCUAUCUUUCUCUUCAAAGCUCGAACCUUUCCUCCUUCCCGUUCCUCUCCUCCCACUGUUCCAAAAACCAUUUCCAUGCUCCUACCAAUUUCUCUCACUUUAAACGGCCUAAAGCUCGUCAGCAGCCGGCCAUCUUCAUAUCCAGGCGAUAUCUUCUGCGUCGUUGUCAUCGAUGGCGACAACGAAUUAAUAUGGGUGAACCCUAGGUAUCGAUGGAUGAUGGAGGAGUUAGAGUUGUCGAAGGAGGAAGAGGGGGUGUGGGACUCAUUAGAAGAGAUGAAGCUUUCCGUGGAGAAAGUUGCCCAAGGAGGAGGUGGCAGGGUAAUGGAUGCUUGCAGAGGAGGUGGGGGUGGAAAGGAGGCGACUGAUCCACGAGGAGUGAAGGCUGGUAGAGUACUUUUAUUGGUGGAACAUGAAGCAUUCGACGGCAACCCAUGCGGCAGAGGUCCGUUGGAAGGAGCAAGCGCCAAUGUGGAAGAUGCUACCGCUCUUAAGUCUCGACAGAGGGAAGAAGAAGAUAAUAUAGGGUUUGCUAGGGUUUUUUACCUCCCUAGCCGACUUCCGCCCCUGACUUCAUCUCCACGCUCUCUUCUCCCGGCUUGGCCGGGGGAGCUCAUCCUCCCCGAUGGCCAACCUCUCUUCUCCUGAGGAGUUCCCUCCUCUUUCUUCUAAGAGCAUUUUGUCCUCCUCAGCGCCUACUCUCAGCAACAGCAAUAUUGUAGCAACUCCAAGACCAGGUAAUGCUUUUGUGCUCUCUUCGUCCUCUUCGCCGGAUGACCCUUUGGAUUUUUAAUGAGGCACAAGUCAAAAUCGUGAAGGAAGAAUGGGGUCUAUCGUUGGUUGGUUAUUCCAUCGGCAGAAGACCAUUUUACGAAUCUCUGCUGGCUGCAAUUCAUAAGGUAUGGAAACUCAAAGGUAUGAUGAAACUGUUGUCUCUCAGCGAUGGUUUUUUUAUGCUGAAGUUUUCUUCACAUGAAGAUUAUGAGAUGGCUCUAGCGACUGGUGUGUGGUUUUUUCUAGGAAAGCCGUUUGUGUUACAAAAAUGGGUUCCAAAUUUUAAACCAGUAAGAGAAGAAUUCACUUCUAUUCCCAUUUGGUUUAAAAUUUUGGACUUGCCCCUUCCCUGUUGGACUCCGGAAGGAAUAUCGCGUAUCGCUAGUAAAGUCGGAAUUCCUUUAGCUAUGGAUGAUUUAACUGCAGAAAAAUCUAGGCUGACUUACGCCAGAGUUUGUGUUCAGGUUUCAAAGGAUUGUGUCUAUCCUGAAGUAAUUUCCAUUACUAUUUUAGGGGAGCCUUUUUCACUUAAACUUCAAUAUGAGUGGAAACCGGUACCCUGCGAGCAUUGUGGUUCGAUCGUGCAUAUUCUAGAAUUCUGUCCAUCCAAGCCUCCAUCUAUGCAAGCUGAAACUCAGCCUCCUCCGCGUGGUAGGAGCACAAGCCGUAGACCACCAAGGACCUUUAACAGAAAUGUUGCUCCUCAAGCCCAGCAACCCAUGCAUCACUCUGCAGCCUCCACUUCUCAGCAAAACUCUGAAAAAUCCGAUUACUCCAAACAAUCUUCAGUUUGUAAGAUUGAUGUUCCUUCUUCUUUUAAACCGCCAGUGGUUGUCAUUCCCACCCCUAUUACCACAGACGAGCCGCCAUCCAUCAACAUUUCUAACCUGAAUUCUCCCACUGAAGAAAUUCCUAGUUCGGGCAUUACCACUCUCCCUAAACAGCAAGACAAGGUUUUAUCUCCGAACCGUUUUGAACUUCUACAAGAAGGUUCAAAGGAUCUAAUGCCCUCUCCUUCUUCCUCCUCCCAACGGGAAACAUGCCAAAUGCCAAUGCCACCACAACCUAAAGCUUCUAGGAGUAAGCAAUCUAAAAAAGCUCCUACCCAAUCUAAUAAAUCCCAAUGAUUACGCCCCGUCUUGCGGCUUGGAAUGUGAGAGGUUUCAAUAGCCCAGAAAAGGUUUGGGCUUGCAAACAGUUGGUCCGUCAGCACCAUUUAGACUUAUUCUGUGUAUUGGAGAACAAGAUUCAUGAAAACAGCCUUUUGAAUCCUUGGUUUUGCUCUAACCACCAAAUCUAUGAUAAUGAGGAAAGUUGUCAUAACUUCAAUCUUGCUAGUUCUGGAAGGAUUUGGAUCAAAUGGGAUCCUCUUUUGAUUCAAUUUAAACCUUCUUAUUUCACUCCGCAAUUGAUUUCUGGAGAUCUCUUUAGGGGGGAGGACUUUCUUGGUGUUCUAUCGGUUGUAUAUGCUUCAAAUUCUCAAGCGGAUAAAAUUAUGCUUUGGGAUGAUCUCAGAGUUAUUGGUAGCCAUAUUUCUUCCCCUUGGCUCAUUCUUGGUGAUUUCAACUAUUGUCUCCUUCCUGAAGAAAAAUCAGGCUGUUCUCCCCUUCUUUCUUCUCAAAUAUGGGAUUUCAAAUCACUCAUUUUUAAUCCGGGCUUACUUAAUAUGGCCUCUACUGGACUGAAAUAUACCUGGUUCAACCAAAUAGCUAAUGAUCCUAUUUAUCUGAAAUUAGAUAGAAUGUUGAUCAACGAUAUGUGGUUGGAGAGUUAUCCUCAUUCCUUUUAUGAAGCUCUUAAUCCUUCUUGCUCGGACCAUUCACCUAUUGUCUUGUUUUCAGGACAGUCUAUUAAUUUGAAGCAUAGAUUUCUUUUCAAAAAUUUCUGGACCAAGCAAGACAGUUUCUGGUAUGAAUUACUUAACAUUUUUGCUCAACCGAUCCAUGGGAAUCCAAUUCAGGGGCUUUAUUUCAAUCUUAACAAAUUCAAAGAGAUCAUCUAGGCAAAAACUUGGUCUAGUUCUUCUUUCCUCUCUGUUAAUCUUUAUUCUCUUAUGGAGCAACAAACUAUUUGUCUUAAUAAGAUUAAUGCAGACCCUCAAAAUCCAAUUCUGAAUCAAAAUCUGAAUUGUAUUAAUGAUCAAAUAAAGGAAUGCUCAUCCUCUUGGACUAAUUGGGUUAUCCGACGUGCUAAAUUGAAAUGGCUUUCGCAAGGAGAGGAUGAUCUUAAAUUUCUUUAUGCAAGGAUUAGGAAAAGAAGGAAUCAAAGUUCUUCUUCAUUGGUUGCUAACGACGAUCCUCUUAUCAGACAGGACUUGAUUUCUUCUAUUAUUCUUCAUUUCGAGAGGCUUUUUAAUGCCCCUAUUCCUGAUUCUUUGGGGGAUUCUUCCUCCAUUCCUCAAGGUAAUGUUAUUCCUUCCUAUUUAGCUAACAUGCUUACUGUGUCUGUAUCAGACGAUGAAAUCAAAGAAGCUAUUUUCUGUGGGAAUUUUAACUCCUCCCCUGGACCUGAUGGGUUCAAUUUUGAGUUCUAUAAAUCUACUUGGCUCAUUACUGGUCCUUUGGUCUGUAAAGCUGUUAAAUCUUUCUUCUAUAAGGGGUAUCUUCCCAACAAAGUCAAGGCUACUGCUAUUGCCUUAAUUCCAAAAUCUGCUCAUGCCUCUGAUAUCAUGGAUUUUAGACCUAUAGCACUUUGCAAUGUCUUUUAUAAGAUUAUCUCUAAAAUCUUGGCUACUAGAAUGAAGGACAUUAUGCCUACUAUAAAAAUCGUAUUAUAGGGGAGAACCAAGCUGGUUUUAUUAAAAAUCGUAUUGCUACUGAAAAUAUCUUACUUGCUUCUGAAUUACUUAUGGAUUUUAAAAAAUCUGCUAAAAGCAAGUUGUUGUGUGCCAAACUGGACAUUCGUAAGGCUUUUGACUCUGUUUCUAGAGAUUUCAUACUUGACAGAAUGAGGCAUAAAGGCUUUCCUAUAACUUUUAUCCAUUGGAUUAAAGCCUGUAUUUCGGAUGUUCAUUUCUCAAUUUCUAUUGAUGGUGCUUUGGAGGGUUACUUUUUAUCUUCUUCUGGGAUCAGACAAGGUUGUCCCCUUAGCCCUUACUUGUUCUGUAUUGCUAUGGAUGCAUUUACUUGUAUGAUUGAUAAAACUUCGGGACCGGAUAGAUUUAUUGGCAUUAAAAAGAAGGACAUGCAUAUUUCACACUUAUUAUAUGCUGAUGAUCUUCUCAUUUUUGGAGAUGCCACGCCAAGCAAUUGUGAAGUACUUCUUAACAUUCUAGACUCUUUUGCCAAGAUGAUUGGGCUUUUGGUCAAUCAUGAUAAGAGCAAGCUCAUUAUUUCCAAUUACAUUGCUAAUCCUUAUGUUGUUUGUGAAGCCUUACAUAUCUCAACAUCUUGUUCUAAGAUGACUUACUUGGGUAUUCCAAUAUCUGCUAAAAAGCUUGGCAUAACAGAUUUUCAACCUCUUAUGCAAACUAUUACUAGACAUUUAUCAGGUUGGAAAGCUAGACUCCUUUCAUUUGCAGGUCCACACAUCCGGUCGGAUGAGACCGACCGACCUGGGUUUUCACGAGCGUUGGCGGGUCCUGGAGUGCCCGUCAAGGGCGCUAGCGCAUACCUCGGGGUGAUCAUCACCACCUGCACCUCACAUCUCGGCACAGUGGAACGUGUAACCCGCCUGCUGUCCAAGUAAACCACUGAAUUUCCUGUAAUCCAUAGCGCCUAACAGAACGUAGCAGCAAGGGACAACCCACCCAUACAGACAGUCUUCAAUUUCUUAAGUAUACAGUUUGCAAUACCAUUGCCUAUUGGAUUAGGGGGGCUAUUUUUCCAAAAGCAUGUUUUAAAAACUUGAGCCGGUUAUGCUCUAGAUUUCUUUAUUUUGGAGAUUUGGAGGCUAAAAAAAUGCAACUUAUAGCAUGGAAGAGAACUUGUAAACCCAAAAAGUAUGGAGGGUUGGGAAAUCUGGACCUUCAAGCUCUUCAAUUUGCUAACCACUGUUCAUUGCUAUUCAGAUUUUAUAACUCUAACUCCCUUCUCUUUUCAUACUUGAAUACUAAAUAUGGCACCCCUUGGACUCCGUCUAAUAUGAAAACUUCUGUUUUGUGGCGGGAAAUUGGGACAGUGGCUAGAAUUACUUCCUCCAGUAUCCAUUUUGAUAUUAACUCUAAUAGCAAAAUUGCAUUGUUGUGGGAUCCUUGGUAUCAGGGAAGGUCUCUAUUUUCUGUUUUUCCCAAUUGCAGUCUUCAAUCUUACAUACCUAGUCAAGCCAAGAUUUCUGAUUUUUGGAUGGAGUUUGGUGUUUCCCGAGCUAUGUUCAUGAGGCUUUAUCUCAGUUUUUUGAGCAAUUUACUAUGCAUAAUGACCCUAAAUGCACGAUUGGUUGGAUUGAUAAGAAGAAGCCAUCUUUUUCCUCAUUCAAAAAUUUUUACUACCGGGAAGACACGAUUUCUGAAUGGCACUCGCUUGUGUGGCAUAAACUGCAUGCACUGAAAUAUUCCACGUAUACUUGGAUUGCUGUUAACGGUGGGCUUAAAACGGCUGAUGAGCUCUUUAAAAGGAAUAUUGUAGUGACGCCUACCUGUUCUCUAUGCUCUUCUAACAAUGAGUCUAAUUCCCACAUUUUGUUUGAAUGUGAUUAUGCUUUUGCUGUGUUGAAAAAUCUGGUCCCUGCUGUGGGGAAUUUUCUCCUGCGCCCUAGGCUUAUUCAAGUAAUUCAUUUUUUGGGUGAGAGAAGUUAUAUGCAUAAAAAUCAAAGAGAAUUUGCUUUGCUUACGACUUGCUGUAUCACUUAUCACCUAUGGAGGGAAAGAAACGAGAGAAGAUUCAACUUUAAAUUUAGAAGUGUAUCCACCUUAUGCUAUAUCAUUAAACGUGCUGUUGAGGAGAAGAUUUCUUCUUGGAAGUAUAAAGAAAACUUGAGCAUCUCUUGGCCAUCUUGAAGCAGAUUCUUAUUCAGGCUGUUCUGGUUGUUUGAAUUCUGGAUGGAUGGUGUUUUAUCUGCCUUUCAAUUCUCGGUUGCACUUUUUUUGUUUUGUCUGGGCCAGGCAGCAUUUCUGGAUGCUGUUCUUUUUUUGGCUGGUUAUUCUCUCAUCUCGGUUCUGAGUAGCAGUUGGUAUUUUCAUGUUCCUGGAUGGCAUUUUUGCAACCAGGAUAGGUUUGGAUGUUUUGUCGGAGGACGAUGAUGUAGCUGCUAAUCAUCUCCUUGGAGGGCCUCUUGGGCAACCAGGAGACAAUUGCACGGUUAUGCUGGAAUUCAGAUUGUUAUGCGAUUAGCAGUCUGAGUCCAUUUUUGGGUGUUCAAAAAUCUUUAUUGUUUUCUAUGAGCUGUUGUUGUUCUUUACAUGUUUUCUUCAUGCUCUUUUAUUGCUCUUUUGGGAGGUAUAGAUUUUUGGUUUAUCCUCCACUUGUUUGAGGAUAAAUCUUUUUAUUAUACCUUACUUGUAACCUUUUUUUUCAUAGUAAUAUAUGGGCUCAAGGCCCUUAAUUUUCCCAAAAAAAAAGUCUCGACAGAGGAUUUCAGUGACAGCAUCGGGUGGGCAGUCAUGGUUGAGAGCAGGAGAAGAGACUACUGGUGCGAAAGGCACCGAUGAGUGGGACGAAGGUCGCGAAUAUUUUCAAGUGGGAUUUACGUCAUUUUUGCCCUUCGAAACCGCGGAACGCAGCGGAUCGCAGGAGACGGCGAAAGGUUGCGGGAAGCAGAUAUGUGCCGCAAAUUUUUUCAAACCUGGUUCUGCCGCAAUGCCCCAAACGAUCAUUCGGACAACUUGAUGCUAGUGGAUGAAGAAUUCAAAUCUACAAUGGAUUAUGAAAAAUUUUCUUUGGGUUGUGGAGGACCAAUUGCGACUCUUGAUGGUGAAGUUGUUGUUGGAAUUAGCACUGAAAUUGAUAUUAUUU